CACACCAUAAAGAGUAGAUGCACAGGAUGCUUAGGUCUGAAGGCAAGAAAAUUGUAAAACAAAGCAUUUAGCUGUGAAAUGUAUCAAGAGAUAACGGAGUUUAAAGCUUAAGAUUAUCUACAUCUUACAUACUGUACAUGGACAGUGUGAACAUAAUGGUCAGUGCCAAAUAUUUGAGGUUUGAUGAAGAAAUCUUAAAUGCUAUUUCUGUUUUUCUGCCUUUUCAAUUAGGUAUAAUAACUGAAAGAAAUGCUUUUCAUUUACUGAUUUGGCAAAGGCUUUACAUCAGAUGCCCUUCCUGAUGUUAUUUAUACAGGCUUUGGGCAAAGUAAUGUUCUUUUAAGCUGCCACCAAUUUGCAAAUCAAUUUAUACAAAUUCCCUACUCUUAAAGGCAGUCCAGUCAAAGAUACAAAGCAGGUAUCUCAGUAAACUCACCUACUGGUAUCUUAUUCAAAAUGAUUCAGUUCAUAAUAGACACAACAAAUAUGAUGGAUAAAAAACAUAUUUAGUGUCUGACUAUGGUCCAAUUGCCAAUAAAUAAAACUUUAUCAACAAGGAAAUCAGCAACAAACAGAUGUUUACAUAUGUGUAGAUAAACAUCUGCAAUGUGUGCUGCUUCUUAGAUAGAUCCUGCAUGGGCACUUUCUUCACAUAAACUUUUACUGUUCAUAUUAAAGUACGUUGUUUGACACUGAAAUCUACACCAAGAGAUGACCAAUUAAAGGUGCAAUGUGUAACUUUUUGGGAGCAGGGUCUGCCAUCUAAUUAUUUCCACUGGGAUGUUAUUGCUCAGCCAAGAAUGUUCCAGAGUAUGGCAAUUGGCCACCAGGUCAAGUAAUAUGUGAGAUUUGUGGUGAGGUGAAGCCCUCACAGUAAGAAUGAAUGUUUUUCAAGGUAUUUUUGAGCAGUACUACUAGAAACACCCUUACCUCACCCUAAAUAAUUACUGAGCUGUAUACACGUUUAAUGACAUAUUGUGAAACAUUCCAGGCCACGAAAUCACAUCUCCAUGGAGACAAUCAGGUGGCAGAUCCCAACCAGAAAUGUUACAUAGUGCCUGCAGCACAA
ensembl:lncRNA